rnacentral:rRNA from 1 species
UACGUAGGGUCCGAGCGUUGUCCGGAAUUACUGGGCGUAAAGAGCUCGUAGGUGGUUUGUCGCGUUGUUCGUGAAAACUCACAGCUUAACUGUGGGCGUGCGGGCGAUACGGGCAGACUUGAGUACUGCAGGGGAGACUGGAAUUCCUGGUGUAGCGGUGGAAUGCGUAGAGAUCCGGAAGAACACCGGAGGCGAAGGCGGCUGGCUGGACCUGAUCUGACGCUGAGGUGCGAAAGCGUGGGGAGCGAACAGG